CAUAGAAACAAAAGGUUUGUCUUCUUGUUAGAUACUAGGGUUUAGGAAUGUGGAAAUAAGUUUAACCAGGUCUCUUACUUGAAUAAGAGGAGAGACAGAGAGAAAGAAAGAGAAGAGAAAAAGAUGCUGAUGCUAUGUUUUCAAAAUGUUCUAAGAUAAGGAAAAACCUUCAUGCCUUGUUUUGUCUUGAUAUACUAAUCUCUGUGUGCAGAUGUUAACCUCCUCCUUUCUGGGAACCAGAAACUGAUAGCUGUUCCCAAAACACAAUGUGUUUGCUGAAUAAGCAAACUGCCUCCGUGUGACAAACGAAUGAUCAACUUCUUCCUGUUUCUUCAAGGUUGUUUUGUCUGAACCCUGCAUCUUUUCUCGCUGUCUAAAGUAUAAAUACGCUUGUAAACUUAUAGAGUUCAGAGUUCCUUUGAGAACCCUCCUUGUGAUCACUUGUACAGCUCUAAAUAAACCAAGAUGGCUCUGUCAAUUCUGAUACAACCACAAUGCGAAGUUUUAUUUCUUCCUCAAUUUGGGGCCGUGACUCUGAUAGGGAUGCCUGGAGUGAUUGGUUGAGAUAUGGACUGUCUCCUCACUGAUGCCCCGGCGCCAAACUAAGAGCGAAGAGGAUUUGCCACUACAGAGCGAAGAAGAUGUACCCCAAUGACGCCACUAUGCCCUUCAGGAAAGGAAAAAGGCCUCUACCUAGUUCCUGGUUCCGGAGGUGGGGUUGGUUAGUCGUGACCUGGGUACUUCUCAGUCUUUCCUAUUGGAUCAUCUUAUAUGAACUUAAAGACUCACCAGUCAAAAGAAACUUUGUAAAUCAGACUAGACUUCAAAACAGGUCAAAAAGAUCACUCCCACACUGGCAUGCUCACCAAAACACUUUUCUUCAACUGUCUUAUCAAUAUGCAAAGAAUUUAAAUUUUCUAAAUGUUGGGUAUGUUCCCACUUGCCUCCUAGUACAAUGACAGGGGUGCCCAUGAUUGCUUUAUCCCUUAAUUGGACCGACUUUUGUGAUAUGUAUGACCCACAGCACAACUACAGUGGGUGCUAAGGAUUUUGGUCAAAUCAGACCUUUUCCCAACAUCUUCCUCCCUCUUCUGAUCCUGCUCCAUUUCCACGUAUCCAGUUAGCUAGAAAAGCUCCUGGAUUUUUGUGUUACAAAUAUAAUGGUACCAGAUGGGUAGGAACUAGUACCUGUAAUUAUACUAUUGAUUGUUCUUCAAUGAACAAUAAUGUGCGCCUUGAAAUUAAGGGAUACAGAAAGAUAACAUUUAACAGCAUAGGCACCAAUCAUCAUUUUAAACAGUACUCAUGCUCAAAACAGGAAAUGGGUGGCAUAUAAUGGAACUUAUUAUAUUUGUGGAGAUCAUGCAUAUUUUUGGUUGUCUGGCAACUGGUCAGGAUCAUGUUAUAUUGGAUAUAUUACACCAGCUAUUCGACAUCUGUCUUCCCUUCCUUCCAGAGCAGUUACAAAAAAAAAAAGAGAAAUCACUGAAGAACGAUUUGGGGCUAUAAUGUUUCCAAUGUAUGGUGUGGCCAGGACCAUUAAAGAAAUAAGACUGUUAGCUAAUAUAUUAGAACAAGUAAGUAAUGAUACUGCAGAUUCUUUAGACCAACUGUCCCAAGAGAUGGUAGCGCUGCGAACCAUGGUUUUGCAAAAUCUUAUGGCUCUAGACUUCACUUUAGCCAGUAAAGAAGGAGUCUGUACUUUAAUAGGUAAGGAAUGUUGUACUUAUAUUCCCGAUAACUCAGAAGAAAUUCAGGAUUUGACUGCACAUAUUCAGAAAGAAACAGCCAAAUUGCACGAGUCAGACAGUUGGAAUUUAAGUUCUUGGUUCAGCUCCAUUUUUAGUUCCUUGGGCUCUACAGUUAUUCAUGGUCUGUUAAUACUGUUUGUUAUUUUUUUUGGAGUAUGCCUAGUAUUUAUGCUAAUACGAUGCUGCUUAAGUUGUGCCGCUAAGCAAAUGCAAAAUAGCUUGUUAACCUCUGUGCAAAGAAACAAAGUGUAUAAUAUGUAUGUUAAAAUAGCGGAAGGUAAAGAGAAAGAAAAAUUAGAAGUUAAAAGGCUCAUGGCUAUAAAUAUCUAACAUGUUGGGCCAAAAAAAGGCCCAAAAGGGGGGAAUGUGGAAAUAAGUUUAACCAGGUCUCUUACUUGACAAAGAAGAGAGACAGAGAGAGAGAAAGAGAAGAGAAAAAGAUGCUGAUGCUAUGUUUUCAAAAUGUUCUAAGGUAAGGAAAAACCUUCAUGCCUUGUUUUGUCUUGAUAUAUUAAUCUGUGUGUGCAGGUGUUAACCUCCUCCUAUCCGGGAACCAGAAACUGAUAGCUGUUCCCAAAACACAAUGUGUUUGCUGAAUAAGCAAACUGCCUCCGUGUGACAAACGAAUGAUCAACUUCUUCCUGUUUCUUCAAGGUUGUUUUGUCUGAACCCUGCAUCUUUUCUCGCUGUCUAAAGUAUAAAUACGCUUGUAAACUUAUAGAGUUCAGAGUUCCUUUGAGAACCCUCCUUGUGAUCACUUGUACAGCUCUAAAUAAACCAAGAUGGCUCUGUCAAUUCUGAUACAACCACAAUGCGAAGUUUUAUUUCUUCCUCAAUUUGGGGCCGUGACUCUGAUAGGGAUGCCUGGAGUGAUUGGUUGAGAUAUGGACUGUCUCCUCACUGAUGCCCCGGCACCAAACUAAGGUAAGAGACCUUUUGAAAUCUCUAUUGGGGCUUUUCAGUGAGAGACUGCCUGUGUGUCUGCCUGUUCGCUGCUUGAGGCUUACCCUAUCCAACCCUUUUGUUGCCAGAAUGGUCAGACCCACUAUGUAGGUAGGAACUGUGAGUAGAAAAGAGUUUGAAACUGUGUUGCUGUUGUCAGUGAAUGUGUUUCCCCGUGUGAAUUGAGUUAAGUUCUGUAAAGAACUAUGAGGUCUUUCUGAAGUUAGGAGUGGAAACCUUGUGCAGCCGCCCUGAGGACGCCAGACUUGUUCUGCCUGCUCUUCGAAAGCAAGGGUGCAAGGUGGAAACUCUUAGACUGAAGCUACCCUGGGGGUCUUCAAGAGGAGGUUAGAUAGUCAUCUGGCUGGGGUCAUCUGAACCCAGCACUCUUUCCUGCCUAUGCAGGGGGUCGGACUCGAUGAUCUAUUGAGGUCCCUUCCGACCCUAGCAUCUAUGAAUCUAUGAAGGAGAUCAGGGUUGCGUGACAAAUUUUCCCUACCCCCACUCUCAUGAAUGAGCCGUGUCUAACAGUGAGUAACUGCAUUGUGUGCUGUUUCUGCGGAGUCUUGUCUUUGGACACUAGCCAAUUCUGAUACAACCACAACACGAAGUUUGAUUUCUUCCACAGGAAGGUAUACAACUAACCAGUCAGCUGUCCUUGAGAAAUCCUGGAGUCAGGCAGGGCUGUUAAAGGAAUCAUGCUGAUGCUCAAGUAAUAAAAAAAUAUAAGUACCCUUGCUCUUACUUUCUGUAGGGUUGUACAACUGGAUUUAGAAACAUACUUCAUACAUGUAUGUGAUCAUUGGAAAAAUAGUUUCUGUGAACAUGAGGGUUCAUUCAGGAUAUGUUACACAAAGAAUAUCAAACAGAGUGCUCUUUACGGACGACAAUUUCAAUAACAAGACAAAUUUCACUGGAACAUCAGAAUUUUAAUAUUUUUAUAGUAGUAAGUUAUUUAAAGACAAGUCUAUUCCUUAUUUGAAACUAGUUAUAACUGUUUUACAUCAUUCAAUCAAAGUGCUUUCCAAAGGAGGUCAGUAUCAUUAUUCCCAUUUCACAGAUAGGGAAACUGAGGCACAGAGUAGUAUCAUGACACACCCAAAGCCAUCUCACAGGCUAGUGGCAGAACUUA